rnacentral:rRNA from 1 species
CAUGCAAGUCGAGCGAGAAAGCGUAGCAAUACGUAAGUAAAGCGGCGCACGGGUGAGUAACACGUGAGUAACCUGCCUUCCGGAGGGGGACAACCUCUCGAAAGGGGCGCUAAUACCGCGUACGUCUCCCGGGACCUCGGUUUCGGGAGGGAAAGACGGCCUCUGCAUGCAAGCUGUCGCCGGAAGAGGGGCUCGCGUCCCAUUAGCUAGUUGGUGAGGUAACUGCUCACCAAGGCCGUGAUGGGUAGCUGGUCUGAGAGGACGACCAGCCACACUGGAACUGAGACACGGUCCAGACUCCUACGGGAGGCAGCAGUCGGGAAUCUUGGACAAUGGGGGCAACCCUGAUCCAGCCACGCCGCGUGGGUGAUGGAGGCUUUCGGGUCUUAAAGCCCUGUCAGAAGGGACGAAAGGGUCUGGAGCUAAUACCUUCGGUCUUGACGG